UGGGGUAACGGCCUACCAAGGCGACGACGGGUAGCCGGCCUGAGAGGGCGACCGGCCACACUGGGACUGAGACACGGCCCAGACUCCUACGGGAGGCAGCAGUGGGGAAUAUUGCGCAAUGGGCGAAAGCCUGACGCAGCGACGCCGCGUGGGGGAUGAAGGCCUUCGGGUUGUAAACCCCUUUCAGCAGGGACGAAGCGAAAGUGACGGUACCUGCAGAAGAAGCGCCGGCUAACUACGUGCCAGCAGCCGCGGUAACACGUAGGGCGCAAGCGUUGUCCGGAAUUAUUGGGCGUAAAGAGCUCGUAGGCGGUCUGCCACGUCCGCUGUGAAAACCUAGGGCUUAACCCUGGGCUUGCAGUAGAUACGGGCAGACUAGAGGUAGGUAGGGGAGAAUGGAAUUCCCGGUGUAGCGGUGAAAUGCGCAGAUAUCGGGAGGAACACCGGUGGCGAAGGCGGUUCUCUGGG
rnacentral:rRNA from 1 species